UGGGGAAUUUUGGACAAUGGGGGAAACCCUGAUCCAGCCAUCCCGCGUGUGCGAUGAAGGCCCUCGGGUUGUAAAGCACUUUUGGCAGGAAAGAAACGUCACGGGUUAAUACCCCGUGAAACUGACGGUACCUGCAGAAUAAGCACCGGCUAACUACGUGCCAGCAGCCGCGGUAAUACGUAGGGUGCAAGCGUUAAUCGGAAUUACUGGGCGUAAAGCGUGCGCAGGCGGUUCGGGAAGAAAGAUGUGAAAUCCCAGAGCUCAACUUUGGAACUGCAUUUUUAACUACCGGGCUAGAGUGUGUCAGAGGGGGGUGGAAUUCCGCGUGUAGCAGUGAAAUGCGUAGAUAUGCGGGGGAACACCGAUGGCGAAGGCAGCCUCCUGGCAUAACACUGACGCUCAUGCACGAAAGCGUGGGGAGCAAACAGG
rnacentral:rRNA from 1 species